rnacentral:rRNA from 1 species
AUUGAACGCUGGCGGCAGGCCUAACACAUGCAAGUCGAACGGUAACAGGAAGCAGCUUGCUGCUUCGCUGACGAGUGGCGGACGGGUGAGUAAUGUCUGGGAAGCUGCCUGAUGGAGGGGGAUAACUACUGGAAACGGUAGCUAAUACCGCAUAAUGUCGCAAGACCAAAGAGGGGGACCUUCGGGCCUCUUGCCAUCGGAUGUGCCCAGAUGGGAUUAGCUUGUUGGUGGGGUAACGGCUCAACAAGGCGACGAUCCCUAGCUGGUCUGAGAGGAUGACCAGCCACACUGGAACUGAGACACGGUCCAGACUCCUACGGGAGGCAGCAGUGGGGAAUAUUGCGCAAUGGGCGCAAGCCUGAUGCAGCCAUGCCGCGUGUAUGAAGAAGGCCUUCGGGUUGUAAAGUACUUUCAGCGGGGAGGAAGGGAGUAAAGUUAAUACCUUUGCUCAUUGACGUUACCCGCAGAAGAAGCACCGGCUAACUCCGUG